rnacentral:rRNA from 1 species
GACGUAGGGGGCGAGCGUUGUCCGGAAUUACUGGGCGUAAAGAGCACGUAGGCGGACUAUUAAGUCAGGUGUGAAAGACCGCAGCUCAACUGCGGGGUUGCACUUGAAACUGGCAGUCUUGAGGGCAGGAGAGGACAGUAGAAUUCCUGGUGUAGCGGUGAAAUGCGUAGAAAUCAGGGGGAAUACCAGUGGCGAAGGCGACUGUCUGGACUGACCCUGACGCUGAGGUGCGAAAGCGUGGGUAGCAAACAGG